AACGCUGGCGGCGUGCCUAACACAUGUAAGUCGAACGCUCGUUUGUGGAGCGAUCCAGAAACGGGAGUGGCGAACGGGUGAGUAACACGUGGGUGACCUGCCCCGGGGUGGGGGAUAACGCGCCGAAAGGCGCGCUAAUACCGCAUGAGCCCUGGAAGUCGGAUUGUAGGGGAAAGCUCAAAGGAGAGAUCUUUUGGGCGCCGUGGGAGGGGCCCGCGGCCGAUUAGCUAGUUGGUGAGGUAAGGGCUUACCAAGGCGACGAUCGGUAGCCGGUCUGAGAGGACGGACGGCCACACUGGAACUGAGAGACGGUCCAGACUCCUACGGGAGGCAGCAGUGGGGAAUUUUGCGCAAUGGCCGCAAGGCUGACGCAGCAACGCCGCGUGGAGGAAGAAGGUCUUCGGAUCGUAAACUCCUGUCCGAGGGGACGAAAGAGAUGACGGUACCCUGGGAGGAAGCCCCGGCCAACUCCGUGCCAGCAGCCGCGGUAAUACGGGGGGGGCGAGCGUUGUUCGGAAUUACUGGGCGUAAAGGGCGCGUAGGCGGCCCGGGUAGUCUCGGGUGAAAGUCCUCGGCUUAACCGGGGAAGGGCCUGAGAAACCACUGGGCUAGAGUGCUGGAGAGGGGAGCGGAAUUCCCGGUGGAGCGGUGAAAUGCGUAGAAAUCGGGAGGAAGAUCGGCGGCGAAGGCGGCUUUCUGGACAGACACUGACGCUGAGGCGCGAAAGCCAGGGGAGCAAACGGGAUUAGAUACCCCGGUAGUCCUGGCUGUAAACGAUGGGCACUAGGCGUGGGGGGUAGAACAGUCCCUCGGCGCCGGCGGAAACCCGCUAAGUGCCCCGCCUGGGGAGUACGGCCGCAAGGCUGAAACUCAAAGGAAUUGACGGGGGCCCGCACAAGCGGUGGAGCAUGUGGUUUAAUUCGACGCAACGCGAAGAACCUUACCGGGGUUUGAACUGUCGUUGCCGCCACGCGAGAGCGUGGGUUCCUUUCGGGGACAGUGACAGAGGUGCUGCAUGGCUGUCGUCAGCUCGUGUCGUGAGAUGUUGGGUUAAGUCCCGCAACGAGCGCAACCCUUGUCGGUAGUUGCCAACAGGUGAAGCUGGGCACCCUACCGAGACUGUCGGCGAAAAGCCGGAGGAAGGUGGGGAUGACGUCAAGUCCUCAUGGCCUUUAUGCCCCGGGCGACACACGUGCUACAAUGGGCGGUACAAAGGGGAGCGAGCGGGUGACUGCAAGCGAAUCCCAAAAAGCCGCUCACAGUUCAGAUCGCAGUCUGCAACUCGACUGCGUGAAGGUGGAAUCGCUAGUAAUCGCGGAUCAGCAUGCCGCGGUGAAUACGUUCCCGGGCCUUGUACACACCGC
rnacentral:rRNA from 1 species